GGGAGAAGCUGUGUUCUCUUCACUGGCUUGGGCAGAGCUGCCUGUGUUCAGCAAAAUGUCUCCUGUUUCUAAACUGCUGAGAGGGGCUGGGUGUUAGCUCAGGGCUUCCUAAGGAGCUCUGUGAGCUGCAUCCAAAAGCAUCUGCCUGGCCCAGGAGCUUCCAGCUGCUUUCUAGAAUAAUGCAGGCUUGGGAGACCUAAGCAGCAUCCUCAAAGCUAAGUGGUUAGGCUCCAGCUGAGCUCAGCAACAAGCUCAGGCCGCAGCAGCCACCGCUGAACCGCUGCAGAGCUCCCCGGCUUCGCUGAUAGAAGAGGCAAAAGCGGCUCACAGGGAGCCGAGCGUCUCGAUGUGCAUCUUGGCCAGAAAUGGGAUCCAACCCAAGUCCCCUGUGAAGCUUACGGUGACUUCGGGGAGCUCUGGAUCAGGCAGAGGACCUAGAUCCCCCCACAAGCU